AGGCAGGAUCUUGUUACAACAGAGCUGUGAAGUGCUGUGUUGUCUUUGUCCUGCUCAAAAUAAACCUGUUACCUUCCAGGCCCUGCCUGCCAUGUGCCUGGCUGCAGGCAGGGAUGCUUGGUCUCAGACAC